rnacentral:rRNA from 1 species
GACGAACGCUGGCGGCGUGCUUAACACAUGCAAGUCGAACGGAAAGGCCUGCUUUCCCUUGUGGAUUGCGGGCACUCGAGUGGCGAACGGGUGAGUAACACGUGAGUUAUCUGCCCCCAACUUGGGUAUAAGCCUGGGAAACUGGGUCUAAUUCCCGAUAGGACUGCAGGGUGGUGCCUGUGGUGGAAAACGAUUUUCUAGUGGUUGGGGAUGAGCUCGCGGCCUAUCAGCUUGUAGGUGGGGUAAUGGCCUACCAAGGCGGCGACGGGUAGCCGGCCUGAGAGGGUGGACGGCCACAUUGGGACUGAGAUACGGCCAAGACUACUACGGGAGGCAGCAGUCGGGAAUCUUGCGCAAUGGGCGGGAGCCUGAUGCAGCGAGGCCGAGUGGGGGAUGACGGCCUUCGGGUUGUAAACUCCUUUCGACCGCGAGGAAGCCACCUGGUUGGAAGGGUGGUGACGGUAGUGGUAGAAGAAGCACCGGCUAACUACGUG